AAAAGCUGCAAUCUAUAAUUCUUCAUGCAUUACUGCAUUCAUCAGUGCCAAAACGCCUGCAGUCAAGAUUAUGGAUUUAUUGUAAGAGGUUGCGCAGCACCCAGGUGUUCAUAUGCAGCAGCUCCAAAGCGUGCCAGCAACAAAAACCCAGACCUAAUGGACUUGAUUUCAAGGGUCAGAAAUUCAAAGCAGUGUACGAUUUUUGAUUUCAAGCACAAAAAAUACAGACUAAAAUCUAGCUAGCCCAUCCCAAGGCAGCAGUUUAAUCCAUUUAUGCAAUAGAUGAAGGGCUCAAAGACCUACUCCAAUGAAAAUUGGGUUUUUAACAUGCUCUUGUAGCAUUCUUCUCAUGAUGGAGGACAAAAAAUAAUUUAAGGUUGCAUUUUUAAGAACUUCCUUGUUUAAAUUGCAUUGGAUCAGGAGCAGAUGACAACCAGCGGUUUGAAAAUGCUCUGCAGCAACUCCCUUCUCUACUACGAUUCUGAAGUAUCCACUUGCAGACAACCCAGAGGCGAAUUUCUAAUGAGCUGCAGAAAACGAAGACACAAGCUUUUUGAUUCUGGUUAAAAUUGCAUAAUCUUAGUUAAAUAAACCACUAGGAACAAAUUUACAAUAGAAAAAAAAUUGGACUUUUACAAAAUGAUGAAAAAAAAACCAUGGCAUUGAGGUCGAAGUCCAACACAUUCUCACUCCCAGCUAGUCAUAUAUGGACGUAUUUAUCUUCCUUCACAUCAACCUUCAGGAUUUACAGAGAACAGUAAAAAAAAAAAA